rnacentral:tmRNA from 1 species
GGGACUGAAAGGACUUCUACAUGUGAUAUAUAUUUUUAGGUUCAUGCUAGAUAAUAAUAUUAUUUCUAGUAUAUUCUUGACUAUUUAAUUGCAAAACAUAACAUAUUAGCAUUCUCAAGAAAUUUAGCGAAAGCAUAAAUUGUUAGAGCAUUAGGCUAUCCUAUUUGUGUGUAGUCCAUUAUUUUUUUGCAAAUAUCCCUGAUACUUAAUAACUUUAUAAAACUCUCGUAUUUUGUUAAUUAAUUUUAUUAGAAAAGUUUUGUUGACAAAAGCAUAUUAUUAAAUUGAAAUUACCAAAGGUACCCAAUUUAAAACCUAACUGUAAUAUAAACAUGGACGUGGGUUCAAAUCCCACCAGUUCCA